GGGUUGUGAGGUUAAGCGACUAAGCGUACACGGUGGAUGCCCUGGCAGUCAGAGGCGAUGAAGGACGUGCUAAUCUGCGAAAAGCGUCGGUAAGGUGAUAUGAACCGUUAUAACCGGCGAUGUCCGAAUGGGGAAACCCAGUGUGAUUCGUCACACUAUCGUUAACUGAAUACAUAGGUUAACGAGGCGAACCGGGGGAACUGAAACAUCUAAGUACCCCGAGGAAAAGAAAUCAACCGAGAUUCCCCCAGUAGCGGCGAGCGAACGGGGAGCAGCCCAGAGUCUGAAUCAGCUUGUGUGUUAGUGGAACGGUCUGGAAAGUCCGACGGUACAGGGUGAUAGUCCCGUACACCAAAAUGCACAGGUUGUGAACUCGAAGAGUAGGGCGGGACACGUGGUAUCCUGUCUGAAUAUGGGGGGACCAUCCUCCAAGGCUAAAUACUCCUGACUGACCGAUAGUGAACCAGUACCGUGAGGGAAAGGCGAAAAGAACCCCGGCGAGGGGAGUGAAAAAGAACCUGAAACCGUGUACGUACAAGCAGUGGGAGCACCUUCGGGUGUGACUGCGUACCUUUUGUAUAAUGGGUCAGCGACUUAUAUUCUGUAGCAAGGUUAACCGUAUAGGGGAGCCGCAGGGAAACCGAGUCUUAACUGGGCGUUAAGUUGCAGGGUAUAGACCCGAAACCCGGUGAUCUAGCCAUGGGCAGGUUGAAGGUUGGGUAACACUAACUGGAGGACCGAACCGACUAAUGUUGAAAAAUUAGCGGAUGACUUGUGGCUGGGGGUGAAAGGCCAAUCAAACCGGGAGAUAGCUGGUUCUCCCCGAAAGCUAUUUAGGUAGCGCCUCGUGAACUCAUCUUCGGGGGUAGAGCACUGUUUCGGCUAGGGGGUCAUCCCGACUUACCAACCCGAUGCAAACUACGAAUACCGAAGAAUGUUAUCACGGGAGACACACGGCGGGUGCUAACGUCCGUCGUGAAGAGGGAAACAACCCAGACCGCCAGCUAAGGUCCCAAAGUCAUGGUUAAGUGGGAAACGAUGUGGGAAGGCACAGACAGCCAGGAUGUUGGCUUAGAAGCAGCCAUCAUUUAAAGAAAGCGUAAUAGCUCACUGGUCGAGUCGGCCUGCGCGGAAGAUGUAACGGGGCUAAACCAUGCACCGAAGCUGCGGCAGCGACACUAUGUGUUGUUGGGUAGGGGAGCGUUCUGUAAGCCUGCGAAGGUGACCUGUGAGGGUUGCUGGAGGUAUCAGAAGUGCGAAUGCUGACAUAAGUAACGAUAAAGCGGGUGAAAAGCCCGCUCGCCGGAAGACCAAGGGUUCCUGUCCAACGUUAAUCGGGGCAGGGUGAGUCGACCCCUAAGGCGAGGCCGAAAGGCGUAGUCGAUGGGAAACAGGUUAAUAUUCCUGUACUUGGUGUUACUGCGAAGGGGGACGGAGAAGGCUAUGUUAGCCGGGCGACGGUUGUCCCGGUUUAAGCAUGUAGGCUGAUUGUCCAGGCAAAUCCGGAUAAUCAAGGCUGAGGUGUGAUGACGAGGCACUACGGUGCUGAAGUAACAAAUGCCCUGCUUCCAGGAAAAGCCUCUAAGCAUCAGGUAACAUCAAAUCGUACCCCAAACCGACACAGGUGGUCAGGUAGAGAAUACCAAGGCGCUUGAGAGAACUCGGGUGAAGGAACUAGGCAAAAUGGUGCCGUAACUUCGGGAGAAGGCACGCUGGUGUGUAGGUGAAGUCCCUGCGGAUGGAGCUGAGACCAGUCGAAGAUACCAGCUGGCUGCAACUGUUUAUUAAAAACACAGCACUGUGCAAACACGAAAGUGGACGUAUACGGUGUGACGCCUGCCCGGUGCCGGAAGGUUAAUUGAUGGGGUUAUCCGUAAGGAGAAGCUCUUGAUCGAAGCCCCGGUAAACGGCGGCCGUAACUAUAACGGUCCUAAGGUAGCGAAAUUCCUUGUCGGGUAAGUUCCGACCUGCACGAAUGGCGUAAUGAUGGCCAGGCUGUCUCCACCCGAGACUCAGUGAAAUUGAACUCGCUGUGAAGAUGCAGUGUACCCGCGGCAAGACGGAAAGACCCCGUGAACCUUUACUAUAGCUUGACACUGAACAUUGAGCCUUGAUGUGUAGGAUAGGUGGGAGGCUUUGAAGCGUGGACGCCAGUCUGCGUGGAGCCAACCUUGAAAUACCACCCUUUAAUGUUUGAUGUUCUAACGUUGGCCCCUUACCGGGGUUGCGGACAGUGUCUGGUGGGUAGUUUGACUGGGGCGGUCUCCUCCCAAAGCGUAACGGAGGAGCACGAAGGUUAGCUAAUCCUGGUCGGACAUCAGGAGGUUAGUGCAAUGGCAUAAGCUAGCUUGACUGCGAGCGUGACGGCGCGAGCAGGUGCGAAAGCAGGUCAUAGUGAUCCGGUGGUUCUGAAUGGAAGGGCCAUCGCUCAACGGAUAAAAGGUACUCCGGGGAUAACAGGCUGAUACCGCCCAAGAGUUCAUAUCGACGGCGGUGUUUGGCACCUCGAUGUCGGCUCAUCACAUCCUGGGGCUGAAGUAGGUCCCAAGGGUAUGGCUGUUCGCCAUUUAAAGUGGUACGCGAGCUGGGUUUAGAACGUCGUGAGACAGUUCGGUCCCUAUCUGCCGUGGGCGCUGGAGAAUUGAGGGGGGCUGCUCCUAGUACGAGAGGACCGGAGUGGACGCAUCACUGGUGUUCGGGUUGUCAUGCCAAUGGCACUGCCCGGUAGCUAAAUGCGGAAGAGAUAAGUGCUGAAAGCAUCUAAGCACGAAACUUGCCCCGAGAUGAGUUCUCCCUGAGACUUUAAGUCUCCUGAAGGAACGUUGAAGACGACGACGUUGAUAGGCCGGGUGUGUAAGCGCAGCGAUGCGUUGAGCUAACCGGUACUAAUGAACCGUGAGGCUUAACCUUACAACGCCGAAG
rnacentral:rRNA from 1 species